rnacentral:rRNA from 1 species
CGGCGAGUGAAGCGGGAAGAGCUCAAAUUUGAAAGCUGGCACCUUCGGUGUCCGCGUUGUAAUCUCGAGAAGUGUUUUCCGUGCUGGACCAUGUACAAGUUCCUUGGAAUAGGACGUCAUAGAGGGUGAAAAUCCCGUACUUGACAUGGACGCCCAGUGCUUUGUGAUACACUCUCCACGAGUCGAGUUGUUUGGGAAUGCAGCUCAAAAUGGGUGGUAAAUUCCAUCUAAAGCUAAAUAUUGGGGAGAGACCGAUAGCGAACAAGUACCGUGAGGGAAAGAUGAAAAGCACUUUGGAAAGAGAGUUAAACAGUACGUGAAAUUGUCGAAAGGGAAGCGCUUGAAGUUAGACAUGCUUGUCGGGAUUCAGCCUUGCUUUUGCUUGGUGUAUUUCCCGGUGUGCAGGCCAGCAUCAGUUUUGUUUGCCGGAUAAGGGUGAGAGGAAUGUGGCCCCUCGGGGUGUUAUAGCCUCUCACUGGAUACGGCGGAUGGGACUGAGGACCGCAGUGUGCCUUUAUGGCGGGCCUUCGGGCACCUUCACACUUAGGAUGCUGGCGUAAU